GUCAGGAUCAUCAACACAGGGAACCCAUCUCAAACACCUCAGGAUUAUCUACACAGGGAAGCCAUCUCAAAUAAGUCAGGAUUGUCUACACAGGGAGCUCAUCUCAAACACUUCAGGAUAACACAAGAAAACCCAUCUCAAAUAAGUCAGGAUUAUCUAGACAGGGAGCUCAUCUCAAACACUUCAGGAUAACACAAGAAAACCCAUCUCGAAAGUAUCAGAUAUUUUGAGUAAACGCUGACCAGUGCAGGACAGAAGGCCCAGCUAAAAUAACGGGAGUGACAAACUAACCAAAGAAAGUAACACCCAGCCCUAUCCUGUUUUUCCGAGCAUUCUUACCUGAACAGAGGAAAGCAGCGGCAAGAUCUGUCAUAAUACAGCUGCUUAUUCCAUACCGCACUCGGUAUAAUCGUUCUAAACAGGCAUAAAAUAAAAUAAAAAUAGACGAGAAUCGAUCUAAAUAAUGGCACAAAAAAACACAACCAAAUUUGAUUUUGAGGGAUCUUCUAGAAACAUAUUCAGAGCCGAGUACUCCAACAGCAUAGACUUCAUAAGACUUGGAGUAAAAAGCUGUUAAGUGUAAUAGCUGUUUAAUAGCCUUCUGAGUAAAAGUAAAGUGGGCAAAAACGUGUAAAGCUGGUAAGUGGCUAAUGGUGGGGUCAGUAUUUCCGCAUCCGCGCGCCCCGCGUGUUAGCAUUUCUUUAAACGAUUAGGAUCUUAUUAUCUUCUUUAGAUCAACCACAACCAAAAUGAACUUGAGUCAAGAGUAUGUUUAUCAAAGUAGUUAAAUGAACUAGUAGUUGACUGUUCAAAUUAAGGAAUAAAGCGGAACUCUAGACUCUUUAA